ensembl:rRNA 5S_rRNA 5S ribosomal RNA
AUCUACAGCCAUACGACCCUGAACAGUACCGAUGUCAUCUGAUCUCAGAAGCUAAGCAGGUUUGGGCCUGGUUAGUACUUGGAUAUGAGACUGCUUGGGAAUACCGGGUGCUGUCGUCU